rnacentral:sRNA from 1 species
AGAUAUUUUCUUAUUAUUACGUUAUAUGAAUAUGAUUUAUCAUAUGACCUUCUUUCUGUUUAUUUUUGUGCGUUCUGAUAACUUGGUAACAUUGAUAUACAUUUUUUACGUAAUGGUCAUCCGAGACAUUAGACAUACCCACACAAAAACACGAGAUUCUAUAUGGCUAUAUGCAAGGGAAGAGAAUUAGGGGGUGUUAUUGGUUCCUAAUUUACAAGGAAUUUUGAUGACUUCAAUUAAAUCCUUGAAAGUUUAAAGAAACGAAAGAUUUUAAAGGAUUGUUAGAGAGUUUUUUAUAAUCUUGUUGAUUAGUUUUUCAUAAUCUUGUAAAGUUUCUCAAACAAUCUCUCAAUUUUGAU